rnacentral:rRNA from 1 species
UACGAAGGGGGCUAGCGUUGCUCGGAAUCACUGGGCGUAAAGGGUGCGUAGGCGGGUGUUUAAGUCAGGGGUGAAAUCCUGGAGCUCAACUCCAGAACUGCCUUUGAUACUGAAGAUCUUGAGUUCGAGAGAGGUGAGUGGAACUGCGAGUGUAGAGGUGAAAUUCGUAGAUAUUCGCAAGAACACCAGUGGCGAAGGCGGCUCACUGGCCCGAUACUGACGCUGAGGCACGAAAGCGUGGGGAGCAAACAGG